GUUAUAUGGUCAAGCGAAUAAGCGCACACGGUGGAUGCCUUGGCGGUCAGAGGCGAUGAAGGACGUGGCAGCCUGCGAAAAGUAUCGGGGAGCUGGCAACAAGCUUUGAUCCGGUAAUGUCCGAAUGGGGAAACCCACCCGCUUGCGGGUAUCCUGCAGUGAAUACAUAGCUGCUGGAAGCGAACCUGGUGAACUGAAAUAUCUAAGUAACCAGAGGAAAAGAAAUCAACCGAGAUUCCGUAAGUAGCGACGAGCGAACGCGGACUAGCCCUUAAGCUGGAUUGGUUCUAGGAAAACGCUCUGGAAAGAGCGGCCAUAGAAGGUGAUAGCCCUGUAUCUGAAAGGGCCAUUCCAGUGAAGACGAGUAGGGCGGGGCACGUGAAACCCUGUCUGAACAUGGGGGGACCAUCCUCCAAGGCUAAAUACUACUGACCGACCGAUAGUGAACCAGUACCGUGAGGGAAAGGCGAAAAGAACCCCGGAGAGGGGAGUGAAAUAGAACCUGAAACCGUGUGCGUACAAGCAGUAGGAGCUCCGCAAGGAGUGACUGCGUACCUUUUGUAUAAUGGGUCAGCGACUUACUGUUCGUGGCAAGCUUAACCGUAUAGGGGAGGCGAAGGGAAACCGAGUCUGAUAAGGGCGCAUAGUCGCGGGCAGUAGACCCGAAACCGGGUGAUCUAGUCAUGCCCAGGGUGAAGGUGCGGUAACACGCACUGGAGGCCCGAACCCACUCCCGUUGCAAAGGUAGGGGAUGAGGUGUGAUUAGGAGUGAAAAGCUAAUCGAACCCGGAGAUAGCUGGUUCUCCUCGAAAGCUAUUUAGGUAGCGCCUCAUAUGUAUCCUCUCGGGGGUAGAGCACUGUUAUGGCUAGGGGGUCAUCGCGACUUACCAAACCAUUGCAAACUCCGAAUACCGAGACGGACUGUAUGGGAGACACACGGCGGGUGCUAACGUCCGUCGUGAAAAGGGAAACAACCCAGACCCACAGCUAAGGUCCCAAAUUUUGUGCUAAGUGGAAAACCAUGUGGAAAGGCACAGACAGCCAGGAGGUUGGCUUAGAAGCAGCCACCCUUUAAAGAAAGCGUAAUAGCUCACUGGUCGAGUCGGUCUGCGGGGAAGAUUUAACGGGGCUAAGCACAGAACCGAAGCUUGGGGUGCAUAACUUUGUUAUGCGCGGUAGAGGAGCGUUCCGUAAGCCGUUGAAGGUGGAUUGAGAAGUCUGCUGGAGGUAUCGGAAGUGCGAAUGCUGACAUGAGUAACGAUAAUGCGGGUGAAAAACCCGCACGCCGAAAGCCCAAGGUUUCCUUGCGCAACGUUAAUCGGCGCAGGGUGAGUCGGCCCCUAAGGCGAGGACGAAAGUCGUAGUCGAUGGGAAGCAGGUUAAUAUUCCUGCACCUCGCGUAAGUGCGAUGGAGGGACGGAGAAGGUUAGGUGUACCAGGCGUUGGUUGUCCUGGGGAAAGGCGGUAGGUUUGGAUCUUUGGCAAAUCCGGGAUCCUCUAAGACCGAGCACCGAGACGAGCCUUUAUGGCGAAGUCACUGAUACCACGCUUCCAGGAAAAGCUCCUAAGCUUCAGCUUACGCAGACCGUACCGUAAACCGACACAGGUGGGUAGGAUGAGAAUUCUCAGGCGCUUGAGAGAACUCGGGUGAAGGAACUAGGCAACAUGGCACCGUAACUUCGGGAGAAGGUGCACCCUUUUUGGUGGCUCGUGCGAGCUAUAGCUGAAGAGGGUCGCAGUAACCAGGCCGCUGCGACUGUUUAUCAAAAACACAGCACUCUGCAAACACGAAAGUGGACGUAUAGGGUGUGACGCCUGCCCGGUGCUGGAAGGUUAAUUGAUGGGGUCAGCCGCAAGGCGAAGCUCUUGAUCGAAGCCCCAGUAAACGGCGGCCGUAACUAUAACGGUCCUAAGGUAGCGAAAUUCCUUGUCGGGUAAGUUCCGACCUGCACGAAUGGCGUAACGACAGCGGCGCUGUCUCCACCCGAGACUCAGUGAAAUUGAAAUCGCUGUGAAGAUGCAGCGUUCCCGUGGCAAGACGGAAAGACCCCGUGAACCUUUACUAUAGCUUUACACUGAACGUUGAGUUCGUCUGUGUAGGAUAGGUGGGAGGCUAUGAAACCAUGGCGCUAGCUGUGGCGGAGCCAUCCUUGAAAUACCACCCUGUCGUGCUUGACGUUCUAACCUGGGCCCAUUAUCUGGGUCGGGGACCGUGUAUGGUGGGUAGUUUGACUGGGGCGGUCUCCUCCUAAAGAGUAACGGAGGAGCUCGAAGGUACGCUCAGCGCGGUCGGACAUCGCGCACUGUGUGCAAAGGCAUAAGCGUGCUUGACUGCAAGAUCGACGGAUCAAGCAGGUAGGAAACUAGGACUUAGUGAUCCGGUGGUUCUGUAUGGAAGGGCCAUCGCUCAACGGAUAAAAGGUACUCCGGGGAUAACAGGCUGAUACCGCCCAAGAGUUCAUAUCGACGGCGGUGUUUGGCACCUCGAUGUCGGCUCAUCACAUCCUGGGGCUGUAGUCGGUCCCAAGGGUAUGGCUGUUCGCCAUUUAAAGUGGUACGCGAGCUGGGUUCAGAACGUCGUGAGACAGUUCGGUCCCUAUCUGCCAUGGGCGUUGGAGAUUUGAGAGGGGCUGCUCCUAGUACGAGAGGACCGGAGUGGACGAACCUCUGGUGUUCCGGUUGUCACGCCAGUGGCAUUGCCGGGUAGCUAUGUUCGGAAGCGAUAACCGCUGAAAGCAUCUAAGCGGGAAGCGCGCCUCAAGAUGAGAUCUCCCGGGGCACAAGCCCCCUGAAGGAACCAUGUAGACUACGUGGUUGAUAGGUCAGGUGUGUAAGUACAGCAAUGUAUUGAGCUAACUGAUACUAAUGAUCCGUGCGGCUUGACCAUAUAACCU
rnacentral:rRNA from 2 species